rnacentral:rRNA from 1 species
GACGAACGCUGGCGGCAGGCCUAACACAUGCAAGUCGAACGCUCCGCAAGGGGAGUGGCGCACGGGUGAGUAACACGUGGGAACCUACCUUCUGGUACGGAACAACCAAGGGAAACUCUGGCUGAUACCGUAUACGACCUCCGGGUGAAAGAUUGAUCGCCGGAAGAGGGGCCCGCGUCCGAUUAGGUAGUUGGUGAGGUAACGGCUCACCAAGCCUGCGAUCGGUAGCUGGUCUGAGAGGANGACCAGCCACACUGGGACUGAGACACGGCCCAGACUCCUACGGGAGGCAGCAGUGGGGAAUAUUGGACAAUGGGCGCAAGCCUGAUCCAGCCAUGCCGCGUGAGUGAUGAAGGCCUU